CCUACGGGUGGCAGCAGUGGGGAAUCUUGCGCAAUGGGCGAAAGCCUGACGCAGCAACGCCGCGUGAGGGACGAAGGCUUUCUGAGUUGUAAACCUCUUUCGACAGGAACGAUUGUGACGGUACCUGUAGAAGAAGCACCGGCCAACUAUGUGCCAGCAGCCGCGGUGAUACAUAGGGUGCAAGCGUUACUCGGAUUUAUUGGGCGUAAAGAGCUCGUAGGCGGUUCGACAAGUCGGGUGUGAAACCCCCAGGCUCAACCUGGGGCAGCCACUCGAAACUGUUGUGACUUGAGUUUGGUAGGGGAUCACGGAAUUCCUGGUGUAGCGGUGGAAUGCGCAGAUAUCAGGAGGAACACCAGCAGCGAAGGCGGUGAUCUGGGCCAAUACUGACGCUGAGGAGCGAAAGCGUGGGGAGCGAACAGGAUUAGAUACCCCAGUAGUC
rnacentral:rRNA from 1 species